rnacentral:lncRNA from 1 species
ACUAACAUUUUUUUGACGUUUAACGUUAAUAGAGACUAAAUUGGAAAAAAAAUUAAUGUAUAGGGACCCAAUUAAAAGGAAAAAAAGUAUAAGGACCUAAUUAAAAAUUUCGUGAAACUAUAGGGACCAACAGAGUAAUUAAACCAAUAAACUAUUGAACCACAAGGAUAAUUGAAGAACGUAAUAAGAAACUAAUAACAAAUAUCAAAAGCAAAAGUCUUUUUAAACACCCCAAAUUAAUUAGCAAUGUGAAUCAUUGCAGGUCUAAUCAAAGUGCUCAAACAAUCUUGAGAUUUAUUUAAAUUUCAGUUCUCACAUUAUGCCUGCAGAAGCAAAUAAUUAAUCAUUGUUAGGUGGUAUUUUAGAUAUUCUCAUGAUAUAAUAUCAAAAUUUUUAUGACAAAAAUAAAAGUUAAAUUCAAUCAUUAUUUAAAACAAAUAACAUGAGACAAAUUAAAAAAAAAUCUAUAUUAAAAAAAAUCAAACAAAUUCAAAAGAAAUUUUGACAAAUAAAAAAAAAGUCUGUGUCAGAAAAAAAAAUCAAACAAAUUCAAAAUAUUUUUUUUUUACUUAAAUAGACGUGCUAAAACUAUAAUUGUUCAUAUAUUUUUACGUACUCAUUAAUUUAAACUGUUGAGAGAAAUAAUAUUAUAAUAUAAAAUAUGAUAUUAAGUUUUUUCUGGUCUAACUUAUUAAUCACUCUAUACUUAUAAAUAAGUGAAAAUUUAUCAUACAGUCUAUAUAUACAAAAACACGAUAAUAUAAUCUCAAAAAGAUUUAUAAGUUCACAAAUAAAAAAUAAAAAAUCAUAAAGACUCAUAUAUUUACCACACAUUAAGUCUCCUUCUCAAAACUAGUUUUGCAUCUCCUAAUGCAGUGAUUUGUUAUUGUAGAACUAUGUCUAAAGCGCCAUUUGCAUCCUUCAAUACACCUUCUAAUCCUAUAUUCCGUCUCUUCAGGACUAUCAUAUUGAAAUUCAGCAGUCACAGCAGUACAAAUAAUCAUUCCCAU